rnacentral:rRNA from 1 species
CAAUAGCGUAUAUUAAAGUUGUUGCGGUUAAAAAGCUCGUAGUUGGAUUUCGGGUGGGAAUGGCCGGUCCGCCGUUUCGGUGUGCACUUGCUACGCCCACCUUGCUGCCGGGGACGUGCUCUUGAGUUCACGCUCGGGACACGGAGUCGGCGAGGUUACUUUGAGUAAAUUAGAGUGUUCAAAGCAGGCCUACGCUCUGAAUACAUUAGCAUGGAAUAACACGAUAGGACUCUGGCCUAUCUUGUUGGUCUGUAGGACCGGAGUAAUGAUUAAGAGGGACAGUCGGGGGCAUUCGUAUUCCAUUGUCAGAGGUGAAAUUCUUGGAUUUAUGAAAGACGAACUACUGCGAAAGCAUUUGCCAAGGAUGUUUUCAUUAA